rnacentral:rRNA from 1 species
GUAGGUGGCAAGCGUUGUCCGGGAAUUAUUGGGGCGUAAAGCGCGCGCAGGCGGUCCUUUAAGUCUGAUGUGAAAGCCCACGGGCUCAACCGUGGGAGGGUCAUUGGAAACUGGGGGACUUGAGUGCAGAAGAGGAGAGUGGAAUUCCACGUGUAGCGGUGAAAUGCGUAGAGAUGUGGAGGAACACCAGUGGCGAAGGCGACUCUCUGGUCUGUAGCUGACGUUGAGGCGCGAAAGCGUGGGGAGCGAACAGGAUUAGAUACCCUGGUAGUCCACGCCGUAAACGAUGAGUGCUAAGUGUUAGAGGGUUUCCGCCCUUUAGUGCUGCAGCUAACGCAUUAAGCACUCCGCCUGGGGAGUACGGUCGCAAGACUG